ACCCCGUUCCACUGGAGCAGCUGCUCCAAGCCCCUGUGUCCAACCUGGCCUUGAGCACUGCCAGGGAUGGGGCAGCCACAGCUUCUCUGGGCACCCUGUGCCAGCGCCUCAGCAUCCUCACAGGGAACAGCUUCUGCCUAAGAGCUCAGCUCAGUCUCCCCUCUCUUGGGCAGGUUCAAGCCAUUCCCUUGGCCUGUCCCUACAUCCCUUGUCCCAAGCCCCUCUCCAGCUUUCCUGCAGCCCCUUCAGGCACUGGAGCUGCUCUGGGGUCUCCCCUUCAGGAGCCUUCUUCAGGCUGUGUCCCGGCAGCAUGGCCAGUGCCAUGUCUUGCCCUCCCUGAGCAUCACCCUGUGCUCCUGCAGGUGCUGAGGCCAUACAGCAACAUCUCCAACCUCAAAGUGUGGGAUUACUACACGGAGGAGACGCUUUCCGAGGGCCCCUCCUAUGACUGGGAGCUGGCACAGGGGCAGCCGGAGCCUGUGGAGGACACGGAUCGACAGGACACUGGAGCCCCACAGACCAAGCGCAAGAUCAUCUGGCCCUGCUACGACAACCGGAGCCGCGUGGAGCCCGAUGCCAUCUCCAAACUGCUGGAGGAGCUGCACAACCUGGAGAUGGAGCUGGGGCAGAUUCCAGAGCGCUGGAAGGACACAUGGGACAAGGUGAAAGCUUCCCAGCGCACCGAGGCACGGCAGGAGGGCAACAGGACCCCCAGCUCCCUGCUGAUGUCCUCGGGGCUGUCCCACCACCGCCGCUCGCUCGGGGUGUACCUGCAGGAGAGCGGUGUGGGCUCCACNNNNNNNNNNNNNNNNNNNNAGGGCACCCUGUGCCAGGGCCUCAGCAUCCUCACAGGGAACAGCUUCUGCCUAAGAGCUCAGCUCAGUCUCCCCUCUCUUGGGCAGGUUCAAGCCUAUUCCCCUUGGCCUGUCCCUACAUCCCUUGUCCCAAGCCCCUCUCCAGGUUUCCUGCAGCCCCUUCAGGCACUGGAGCUGCUCUCAGGUCUCCCCUUCAGGAGCCUUCUCUUGUCCAGGCUGCCCCAGCCCAGCUCUCUCAGCCUGGCUCCAGUGCAGAG
rnacentral:lncRNA from 14 species